rnacentral:tRNA from 1 species
UGACCCAUAGUGUAAUUGGCAACACGUUUGAUUUUGGUUCAAAAGAGUCUAGGUUCGAAACCUAGUGGGUCAACAA